rnacentral:rRNA from 1 species
UACAGAGGGCUCGAGCGUUGUUCGGAUUCAUUGGGCGUAAAGGGUGCGUAGGCGGCGCGGUAAGUCGGGUGUGAAAUCUCGGGGCUUAACUCCGAAACUGCAUUCGAUACUGCCGUGCUUGAGGACUGGAGAGGAGACUGGAAUUUACGGUGUAGCGGUGAAAUGCGUAGAUAUCGUAAGGAAGACCAGUGGCGAAGGCGGGUCUCUGGACAGUUCCUGACGCUGAGGCACGAAGGCCAGGGGAGCAAACGGG